GAUGAACGCUGGCGGCGUGCCUAAUACAUGCAAGUCGAGCGAACAGACGAGGAGCUUGCUCCUCUGACGUUAGCGGCGGACGGGUGAGUAACACGUGGAUAACCUACCUAUAAGACUGGGAUAACUUCGGGAAACCGGAGCUAAUACCGGAUAAUAUAUUGAACCGCAUGGUUCAAUAGUGAAAGACGGUUUUGCUGUCACUUAUAGAUGGAUCCGCGCCGCAUUAGCUAGUUGGUAAGGUAACGGCUUACCAAGGCAACGAUGCGUAGCCGACCUGAGAGGGUGAUCGGCCACACUGGAACUGAGACACGGCCCAGACUCCUACGGGAGGCAGCAGUAGGGAAUCUUCCGCAAAGGGCGAAAGCCUGACGGAGCAACGCCGCGUGAGUGAUGAAGGUCUUCGGAUCGUAAAACUCUGUUAUUAGGGAAGAACAAAUGUGUAAGUAACUAUGCACGUCUUGACGGUACCUAAUCAGAAAGCCACGGCUAACUACGUG
rnacentral:rRNA from 1 species